GAUGAACGCUGGCGGCGCGCCUAACACAUGCCAGUCGAACGAUUAAAGCACCUUCGGGUGUGUAUAAAGUGGCGAACGGCUGAGUAACACGUGGGCAACCUGCCCCUCUCAUUGGGAUAGCCACGGGAAACCGUGGAUAAUACCGAAUACUUCGGGACUUCCGCAUGGAAGACUCGAGAAAGCUCCGGCGGUGAGGGAUGGGCCCGCGGCCUGUUAGCUUGUUGGUGGGGUAAUGGCCUACCAAGGCAAUGAUGGGUAGCUGGGUUGAGAGACCGACCAGCCAGAUUGGGACUGAGACACGGCCCAGACUCCUACGGGAGGCAGCAGUGGGGAAUCUUGCACAAUGGGCGAAAGCCUGAUGCAGCGACGCCGCGUGCGGGAUGAAGGCCUUCGGGUUGUAAACCGCUUUCAGCAGGGACGAGGCGAAAGUGACGGUACCUGCAGAAGAAGCCCCGGCUAACUACGUG
rnacentral:rRNA from 1 species